rnacentral:lncRNA from 1 species
UUGACCUCCGGCCAAUCUUGUAAGUUCCGUUUAUCGAGUAAUUUCUAAGCUUUAACUUCGGGCGCAUUGCUGUUGUUUCGUUUAGAUUUAUUCACCAGUCAUCGAUACUUACUAGAAUUCUAGGUUUUACCUGUUGUUCUAGUUUUAUCACCAGUUAUCCAGCUAGGAAUCGAUACUCUGAUGUUUAAUCUACCUAUUUCAUGCAUAGCCGAUUAGAUCUAUUCCUAGUGUUGCUACUGUAGCUUUGUUUAGAUUACUCUAGUAGUUUUCUUCAUAAACAUUGCCUUGUAAUCGGUUGCAUCAUAGCCGAUUUCCUUAUUACUGCAAAUCGGCCAAUUCGCUGUUAAGCUUUCUCAAGAUCGGAACCUUAGCCGAUCGCAACCCCUGGGAACUGACACGUUUGUUUCCUUGCCAAUCAACAGGUCAGAUUGGCUGGCAUGCCGCGCGAACCGCACCAGGGCGAUCACCCGAACAGGAGUUAAGCAGAUUCUCCCGGGUCGUGUGUCCGAUGCUGGGAAUUCGAUCAGUGAUUUCUAGCGCCAACACUACUCAAUAUGGCAUUGGUGGUUUGCAGUUAGUCGAGGAAGUGAUCGAGGCUGAGAAGGUGACUAUUGAGGUCG